CACAAAAUGCUGGAGUCUUAAGGGCCUGUCCCACUUUCAGGUCCUAAUUCACAACCUUUUUUACUCGCGGACAUUUUUCAUCAGGCUAGAAAAACACCCAGACCUACUUGAUGCACGAGAACCUACGACUAGCAUCACAACCU